rnacentral:rRNA from 1 species
GGGUUGUGAGGUUAAGCGACUAAGCGUACACGGUGGAUGCCCUGGCAGUCAGAGGCGAUGAAGGACGUGCUAAUCUGCGAUAAGCGUCGGUAAGGUGAUAUGAACCGUUAUAACCGGCGAUUUCCGAAUGGGGAAACCCAGUGUGUUUCGACACACUAUCAUUAACUGAAUCCAUAGGUUAAUGAGGCGAACCGGGGGAACUGAAACAUCUAAGUACCCCGAGGAAAAGAAAUCAACCGAGAUUCCCCCAGUAGCGGCGAGCGAACGGGGAGGAGCCCAGAGUCUGAAUCAGUGUGUGUGUUAGUGGAAGCGUCUGGAAAGGCGCGCGAUACAGGGUGACAGCCCCGUACACAAAAAUGCACAUACUGUGAGCUCGAUGAGUAGGGCGGGACACGUGGUAUCCUGUCUGAAUAUGGGGGGACCAUCCUCCAAGGCUAAAUACUCCUGACUGACCGAUAGUGAACCAGUACCGUGAGGGAAAGGCGAAAAGAACCCCGGCGAGGGGAGUGAAAAAGAACCUGAAACCGUGUACGUACAAGCAGUGGGAGCACGCUUAGGCGUGUGACUGCGUACCUUUUGUAUAAUGGGUCAGCGACUUAUAUUCUGUAGCAAGGUUAACCGAAUAGGGGAGCCGAAGGGAAACCGAGUCUUAACUGGGCGUUAAGUUGCAGGGUAUAGACCCGAAACCCGGUGAUCUAGCCAUGGGCAGGUUGAAGGUUGGGUAACACUAACUGGAGGACCGAACCGACUAAUGUUGAAAAAUUAGCGGAUGACUUGUGGCUGGGGGUGAAAGGCCAAUCAAACCGGGAGAUAGCUGGUUCUCCCCGAAAGCUAUUUAGGUAGCGCCUCGUGAAUUCAUCUCCGGGGGUAGAGCACUGUUUCGGCAAGGGGGUCAUCCCGACUUACCAACCCGAUGCAAACUGCGAAUACCGGAGAAUGUUAUCACGGGAGACACACGGCGGGUGCUAACGUCCGUCGUGAAGAGGGAAACAACCCAGACCGCCAGCUAAGGUCCCAAAGUCAUGGUUAAGUGGGAAACGAUGUGGGAAGGCCCAGACAGCCAGGAUGUUGGCUUAGAAGCAGCCAUCAUUUAAAGAAAGCGUAAUAGCUCACUGGUCGAGUCGGCCUGCGCGGAAGAUGUAACGGGGCUAAACCAUGCACCGAAGCUGCGGCAGCGACGCUUAUGCGUUGUUGGGUAGGGGAGCGUUCUGUAAGCCUGUGAAGGUGUGCUGUGAGGCAUGCUGGAGGUAUCAGAAGUGCGAAUGCUGACAUAAGUAACGAUAAAGCGGGUGAAAAGCCCGCUCGCCGGAAGACCAAGGGUUCCUGUCCAACGUUAAUCGGGGCAGGGUGAGUCGACCCCUAAGGCGAGGCCGAAAGGCGUAGUCGAUGGGAAACAGGUUAAUAUUCCUGUACUUGGUGUUACUGCGAAGGGGGGACGGAGAAGGCUAUGUUGGCCGGGCGACGGUUGUCCCGGUUUAAGCGUGUAGGCUGGUUUUCCAGGCAAAUCCGGAAAAUCAAGGCUGAGGCGUGAUGACGAGGCACUACGGUGCUGAAGCAACAAAUGCCCUGCUUCCAGGAAAAGCCUCUAAGCAUCAGGUAACAUCAAAUCGUACCCCAAACCGACACAGGUGGUCAGGUAGAGAAUACCAAGGCGCUUGAGAGAACUCGGGUGAAGGAACUAGGCAAAAUGGUGCCGUAACUUCGGGAGAAGGCACGCUGAUAUGUAGGUGAAGUCCCUUGCGGAUGGAGCUGAAAUCAGUCGAAGAUACCAGCUGGCUGCAACUGUUUAUUAAAAACACAGCACUGUGCAAACACGAAAGUGGACGUAUACGGUGUGACGCCUGCCCGGUGCCGGAAGGUUAAUUGAUGGGGUCAGCGCAAGCGAAGCUCUUGAUCGAAGCCCCGGUAAACGGCGGCCGUAACUAUAACGGUCCUAAGGUAGCGAAAUUCCUUGUCGGGUAAGUUCCGACCUGCACGAAUGGCGUAAUGAUGGCCAGGCUGUCUCCACCCGAGACUCAGUGAAAUUGAACUCGCUGUGAAGAUGCAGUGUACCCGCGGCAAGACGGAAAGACCCCGUGAACCUUUACUAUAGCUUGACACUGAACAUUGAGCCUUGAUGUGUAGGAUAGGUGGGAGGCUUUGAAGUGUGGACGCCAGUCUGCAUGGAGCCGACCUUGAAAUACCACCCUUUAAUGUUUGAUGUUCUAACGUGGACCCGUGAUCCGGGUUGCGGACAGUGUCUGGUGGGUAGUUUGACUGGGGCGGUCUCCUCCUAAAGAGUAACGGAGGAGCACGAAGGUUGGCUAAUCCUGGUCGGACAUCAGGAGGUUAGUGCAAUGGCAUAAGCCAGCUUGACUGCGAGCGUGACGGCGCGAGCAGGUGCGAAAGCAGGUCAUAGUGAUCCGGUGGUUCUGAAUGGAAGGGCCAUCGCUCAACGGAUAAAAGGUACUCCGGGGAUAACAGGCUGAUACCGCCCAAGAGUUCAUAUCGACGGCGGUGUUUGGCACCUCGAUGUCGGCUCAUCACAUCCUGGGGCUGAAGUAGGUCCCAAGGGUAUGGCUGUUCGCCAUUUAAAGUGGUACGCGAGCUGGGUUUAGAACGUCGUGAGACAGUUCGGUCCCUAUCUGCCGUGGGCGCUGGAGAACUGAGGGGGGCUGCUCCUAGUACGAGAGGACCGGAGUGGACGCAUCACUGGUGUUCGGGUUGUCAUGCCAAUGGCACUGCCCGGUAGCUAAAUGCGGAAGAGAUAAGUGCUGAAAGCAUCUAAGCACGAAACUUGCCCCGAGAUGAGUUCUCCCUGACCCUUUAAGGGUCCUGAAGGAACGUUGAAGACGACGACGUUGAUAGGCCGGGUGUGUAAGCGCAGCGAUGCGUUGAGCUAACCGGUACUAAUGAACCGUGAGGCUUAACCUUACAACGCCGAAGGUGUUU